rnacentral:rRNA from 1 species
UACAGAGGAGCCAAGCGUUGUCCGGAUUGACUGGGCGUAAAGGGUGCGUAGGUGGUGAGGUAAGUCGGAUGUGAAAGCUCGGAGCUCAACUCCGAAAUGGCAUUGGAAACUACCUUGCUCGAGGGUUGGAGGGGGGACUGGAAUGCUUGGUGUAGCAGUGAAAUGCGUAGAUAUCAAGCGGAACACCAGUGGCGAAGGCGAGUCCCUGGACAACUCCUGACACUGAGGCACGAAAGCUAGGGGAGCAAACAGG